AGUGAACGCUGGCGGUAGGCCUAACACAUGCAAGUCGAACGGCAGCACAGUAAGAGCUCGCUCUUACGGGUGGCGAGUGGCGGACGGGUGAGGAAUACAUCGGAAUCUACUUUUUCGUGGGGGAUAACGUAGGGAAACUUACGCUAAUACCGCAUACGACCUACGGGUGAAAGCAGGGGAUCUUCGGACCUUGCGCGAUUGAAUGAGCCGAUGUCGGAUUAGCUAGUUGGCGGGGUAAAGGCCCACCAAGGCGACGAUCCGUAGCUGGUCUGAGAGGAUGGUGAGGCACCAUGGGAAUUGAGACAGGGCCCAGACCCCUCCGGGAGCAAGCGUGGGGGAAUUUUGGCCAUGGGGGCCAAGCCUGACCCACCAAGCCCGGGGGGGAAAAAAAGCCCUUUGGUUUGUAAAGCCUUUUUUUGGGGAAAAAAAAGCACCAGUUUAAUCCCCCGUUGUCCGGACGGUCCCAAAAAAAAAACCCCCGGCUAACUUCGUG
rnacentral:rRNA from 1 species